AACGUAGGGGACAAGCGUUAUCCGGAUUUACUGGGCGUAAAGCGCCCGUAGGCGGCCUGACAAGUUGGACGUGAAAGCUCCUGGCUUAACUGGGAGAGGCCGUUCAAAACUGUCAAGCUAGAGUCUGGAAGAGGAGAGCGGAAUUCCUGGUGUAGCGGUGAAAUGCGCAGAUAUCAGGAGGAACACCGAUGGCGAAGGCAGGUCUCUGGGCCACUACUGACGCUGAGAAGCGAAAGCAUGGGGAGCGAACAGG
rnacentral:rRNA from 1 species